rnacentral:rRNA from 1 species
CCUACGGGAGGCAGCAGUAAGGAAUAUUGGUCAAUGGGCGCAAGCCUGAACCAGCCAUGCCGCGUGCAGGAAGACGGCCCUAUGGGUUGUAAACUGCUUUUGAACAAGAGAAAACCUCGGUACGUGUACCGAGCUGAUAGUAUUGUUAGAAUAAGCAUCGGCUAACUUCGUGCCAGCAGCCGCGGUAAGACGAAGGAUGCAAGCGUUAUCCGGAUUCAUUGGGUUUAAAGGGUGCGUAGGCGGCCUGAUAAGUCAGUGGUGAAAUCUCUCAGCUUAACUGAGAAACUGCCAUUGAUACUGUCGGGCUUGAGUACAGAUGAUGUGGGCGGAAUAUGACAUGUAGUGGUGAAAUACUUAGAUAUGUCAUAGAACACCGAUUGCGAAGGCAGCUCACAAAACUGUAACUGACGCUGAGGCACGAAAGUGCGGGGAUCAAACAGGAUUAGAUACCCUGGUAGUCCGCACCGUAAACGAUGAUUACUCGUUGUUGGCAAUAUGACCGUCAGCGACCAAGCGAAAGCGAUAAGAAUCCACCUGGGGAGUACGCCGGCAACGGUGAAACUCAAAUGAAUUGACGGCNGAGAGNGCGACGACGACGACGAGGGAGAGG